rnacentral:lncRNA from 12 species
GGGUACAUAAGUGGUGCUAUUAAUAGAUAAUUUGUGGCAGGGCAACACUUACUUUGGAAAAGAGUACAAGCAGAUCCAGAGGGGCUAUGCAGAGGCUGUGAAAACUUUCCAUUCCCAGUAAAGAACCUGCAUCUGAGCACAUGGGGCUAUUAGGAAUAUGUUUAGACCCAUCCCUAAGCAACGU